rnacentral:tRNA from 1 species
GGAUCUGUGGCUUAGCCUGGAUAUAGCGCCGGGCUUCUAACCCGGAUGCCAGGGGUUCGAAUCCCCUCAGAUCCG